rnacentral:lncRNA from 10 species
AUCCGCGCCUGCGCAGCCGCGGGUCGCCCAGGGUUGGGAUGUUGGUGUCGGCUGGGGGCUGCUGUGAGGCGCUUGGUAGCACCCAGUCCUGAUACUCUCCAGUUACCCGGUAGGCGGGGCUCGGACACAAAGAAAAGGUGAAUUCGCAGCUGAGAGCCCUUGUUUCCGGUCCUUUUUUUUUUUUUUUUGAGAUGGAGUCUCGCUCUGUCACCCAGGCUGGAGUGCAGUGGCGCCAUCUCGGCUCACUGCAAGCUCUGCCUCCGGUGUUCAAGCGAUUCUCCUGCCUCAGCCUUCUAAGUAGCUAGGAUUACAGGCGCGCGUCACCACGCUUGGCUAAUUUUUGUAUUUUUAGUAGAGCCGAGGUUUCACCAAGUUGGUCAAGAUGGUCUCAAACUUCUGACCUCGUGAUCCGCCCGCCUCGGCCUCCCAAAGUGCCGGGAUUACAGGCGUGAGCCACCGCGCCCGGCCGUCUCCGAUCUUUACACGCAUUCUUCGUGUUAUCUGAAGACACUCUGACGCCACCACCCAAAGCAACUGGCAGUUGACUCUUGGCAAUUUUAAGCUUGUGUGGAAAGCAGCCGCCGCCCGGUAGCUCCUUUUUAUCUAGAGACACUCAGGAUGUGGGGGACACCCCAGCAAUGCCAUCCCUCCUUUGACCUCCAGAGCGCGCAGAAUUACAAAGUUGAGUAAUACUUUAUUUGAAAAAAUGAAAAGUGCACACACACACACACACACACACACUUACAUAGGCACAGUAUAAUCUGGAAGUAUGACCAGCAAAUGAUAACUGAUUCCCUCAGGGGAGAAGAAACUGGGUGGCUGAAGGACAGGAAUGAGAAAGAAGGACAGUUGCGUUUGUUUGUAUCGUUUGAAAUUGUCCAGUGUGUAUGUGUUCUUUUCAAAUGUUUGAAGAACCAUUGGCUCCCUUAUCAAAAUAGAUCUUUGGGGGCUUGGAUGGAGGAACAGGAAAAGAGGAGCCAGGCUUUUUUGGAAAAUUGGCGGCAGCGGUGGCAUACGGGAAACUGAAAUCUUUAUCUAAUCUCAUCCUUUGUAUAUUCGUCUUGGAUUUGCUGAAGAAAAUUAAAAGGCCAGGCCUACCACUCCUAUGGCACAGUAUUGAUGAGAGACAUCAGUGGAGCUCCCCACCUCCACCCCAGGCUUGGAACUUAGGGAAUGACUGGUUUUUGUCAUUUCACACAACAGCUGAAGGAUUCUGUCCCCACCUCGUCCUCUGUGAAGUCUGCUGGACGUACCUGCCAGAAUCUUCUGAAGAUGACGUUUGCUGAACACUGACCCACAGGGGUUUGAUGGAUUAUUGACAAUGAGACAAGCUGUCUUUUCAUCAAUUAGAUAUUCCAGUUGUUUCAGGUCAAUUUCCCAAGAUUUCUCUGGCUGGAGAGAAAGAAAGGAUGAGACUAAGAUGAUUCUGAAACAUUUAGGGGGAAUCCUCACUUAUCUCAAGGGUCCAAUGUAAGCAAUAAAGUCUGUCUCUGGCUUCAACCACCACUUUGAGACCUUCCUCUGCUGAAGUAAUGUUCAUAUAUUUUUUACAGGGAGUCAAGCCUCCAGUGGGGUUGAAUACAGUAGUCCCCCCUUAUCCACAGGGAGCACACUCCAAGACCUCCAGUGGAUGCCUGAAAUUAUGGAUGUCUGAAACCAUGGGUAGUACUGAGCCC